GAUGAACGCUGGCGGCGUGCCUAAUACAUGCAAGUCGAGCGAACAGACGAGGAGCUUGCUCCUCUGACGUUAGCGGCGGACGGGUGAGUAACACGUGGAUAACCUACCUAUAAGACUGGGAUAACUUCGGGAAACCGGAGCUAAUACCGGAUAAUAUAUUGAACCGCAUGGUUCAAUAGUGAAAGACGGUUUUGCUGUCACUUAUAGAUGGAUCCGCGCCGCAUUAGCUAGUUGGUAAGGUAACGGCUUACCAAGGCAACGAUGCGUAGCCGACCUGAGAGGGUGAUCGGCCACACAGGAACUGUGACACGGUCCAGACUCCUACGGGAGGAAGCAGUAGGGAAUCUUCCGCAAUGGGCGAAAGCCUGACGGAGCAACGCCGCGUGAGUGAUGAAGGUCUUCGGAUCGUAAAACUCUGUUAUUAGGGAAGAACAAAUGUGUAAGUAACUAUGCACGUCUUGACGGUACCUAAUCAGAAAGCCACGGCUAACUACGUG
rnacentral:rRNA from 1 species